rnacentral:rRNA from 1 species
GACGAACGCUGGCGGCGUGCUUAACACAUGCAAGUCGAACGGAAAGGCCCUGCUUGCAGGGUACUCGAGUGGCGAACGGGUGAGUAACACGUGGGUGAUCUGCCCUGCACUUCGGGAUAAGCCUGGGAAACUGGGUCUAAUACCGGAUAGGAGCCAUUUUUAGUGUGAUGGUUGGAAAGUUUUUUCGGUGUAGGAUGAGCUCGCGGCCUAUCAGCUUGUUGGUGGGGUAAUGGCCUACCAAGGCGGCGACGGGUAGCCGGCCUGGGAGGGUGGACGGCCACAUUGGGACUGAGAUACGGCCCAGACUCCUACGGGGGGCAGCAGGGGGGAAUAUUGCACAAGGGGCGCAAGCCUGAUGCAGCGACGCCGCGUGGGGGAUGACGGCCUUCGGGUUGUAAACUCCUUUCGCUAGGGACGAAGCUUUUUGUGACGGUACCUAGAGAAGAAGCACCGGCUAACUACGUG